GACGAAGAAAAAUUUUUUAGUACGUGAUGAGACGUGUGCAGACACACAUCUAAGGUGCCCACGAAUAAUCUAUAUUUCCUUGUUUUGCAGCUUUUGCAAAAAUAUGUUGCACGGGAGAUGAGUUGGCCCAUCGUUCUCUGCAGUGUUACAUAUUUUGGCGAGCCAGCCAGGAGGUGGCGCUAGUGAGUCAACAUGAUCACAAACCACCUCCCUUCACAAGAGACGAACUUUCAAUGAACAAAAUGGAAGCGACACAGCCCCUGUGUGAUCAAGUGAGUACAGCCUUGUGGCAGUUGGAGAGGGAGCUUCUCAUGGAUGUCUGCAGGCGACUGAAAUGUUCCGGCCUGGACAGUGGAGAGCCUCGCAGCAAGACUAAGAGGACACUCAUCAGGAUGGCAGAGGAUGAGGAUCAAGUGGAGCAGUGUUACAAGGACAUCGCUACCUACAUCCGCAGACUAAGCAAAGAAGAUAGUCAAUCAGAAGAGGAGCCCCCAUCAAAAGAAUUUGUGCCUAAUAUAGAGCCUGACGACAACCCUGCAUGAAUCUUCCCAAGAAGGAUGAAAAAUACUCCACCUAGAACUCGAAAAGAGCCAGCACAAACUCUACAAGAGGUAACGUUGAGAAGGGAGUUUAAAAUAUGUGGACAGAUUGGAGAACAUGGGCAGAAGGACAGGCUAUCUUACCUCAGCCUAAUCCGCCAGAUUGAGAAUGGGAGCGAAAAAGGACACGCAGAGGCCCGAAAUAGUUGAAGCAGUAAUUAGGGCCAUCAGUCCAGGAAUGCCCCUAAGAGACAUGCUGGAAAUAAAACGUGGGCUGACACUUAGUAAACUGCUCACCAUAUUAAAAGGGCACUACAAGGUUGACAGUCCCACUGAGCUUUACCAUCAACUCCUCAAUCUCUCCCAAGAGCCCAAAGAAACUGCCCUCAACUUUGGAGUUCCAAACAGAAUGCCAGGCAGCCCAGACAUCUGUUCAGACACCCCUCAAGCUUCCCGAGUCCUCCCCUUCAGUGGCCGUGAAAACAGUUAAAGGUAAAGAGACAAAGGCAGAUACACAGCAGAUGAUAGAAGAACUUCGCAAAGAAAUGCAGCAAAUGUUUAUGGCUGCAAUGGAAAAUAGUCCAUGCACCAUGACACCAAGACAGAGAGAAAAGGGCUGUAAAAAAUGCAAAAAAGAGGGGAAAGGAGACAACUGCAGGCACUGUUUCAAAUGUGGGCGAGAGGGGCACUACUCUUGUGGAUGCCGAUUCCCAUCAGUGACAGACUCGUCAGAGCUGGAGUCCGUAAAAGGAGUCUCCCCUCACUCUUUUGGACAGCUUUGUGUUUUUAUCAUUUAUUUUUAAUUGAAGAAAAGUAGUCAUACACAACAAAUGCGGCAUCAUUAUCCAAUAACUUGAAAUUAAAUAGCAAACAAUAAGUAGAAAUGCAAAAUUCCAUUAUAAAGUAGGGAGUUUCCUUGAAGAUUCAUUUGGGGUUUUUUAACAGGAGAUGAUGGAUGGAUUGUCUUCUUUCCAGCAACACAGAAACCCUAAAUGAAUCAAAAACAACAAAUCUGGCUCCAUUAUUUCAUAUUUUUGGCAGUAUCACCAGAAGUGUGAGGAUGCUAACACGUGACACUAUCGGGAAGUGUUUCCAAGUCUCCCCCCUCCGUCGACAACAUGGGCACCUCCUGAACUGUUUCACUUCUGCGCCAGUACCAGAUGGCGAGAGCACCGACAAAACCCAGCACAAGCACGACGGUCGUCACGGCCACGACUGGAACUGGAACUCCAUCGCUCAUGGCUGAUGGUGGCGCUGUGGGUUGAACUCCAUCGCUCAUGGCUGAUGGUGGCGCUGUGGGUUGAACUCCAUCGUUCGUGGGUGGUGGCGCUGUGGGUUGAACUGCAGCGUUCAUGGCUGAUGGUGGUGGACACUCAAGUAGGACGUCACAGUGUUGGGUAGCAACCAGACUUUCCACCGUACAGAGAUAUCUUCCACAGUUGUCCUCUGUGAUCCUGUCUACAAACAAGUCACCCAAUGUGGCAUUCACACUGCCGUUUGGUGGCAUGUGAGGAUCCGCAUUUGAGUGUCACGCCAUGACCCUUUGCAGGCUCCCCUUCCACACCACAAACCGGCUCGAUUGGUUUCUCCAUGACUGUCAGGUUCAUGUCCCUUUGAACCUCUAUUGCAUAAUUUGUCAAGAGGCAUGUGUAGGUCCCCGUGUCUGAGAGACGCAGGUUGCUGAUGGUUAUGGGAGCGUCUCCUUUGCAGUGUGAGGUCUGAAAGCUGUGAGGCAUGUGGUGGACCCUGCCCUUCAGUGGUUUGUAAAAAACACCACAAUGCCAAAAUGUAAUACGGAAGUCUUGUGAAUUCACCGUGACAGACCAGGUAAUGUCUAAAUCGUCAGUGGGAUAUGUAUGCUUGCAGUGAAGAGUGAUGUUUGAUCCUACAGCUGCGUAAUAGGACGUCUGGGAGCUGGCUUUGAGAGUGCAAAAGGUCAGCACCAGGACAAAAGAGAAGAACGCAGGCCUCAUGAUUGGAGCGUUGGACAGGAGCUUGCUGUAAAGAAUCCUACUUGGCAAAAAUUCACUCAUCACGAUCAGGUCUGGAACCAAUUAACCAAGAUCAGUGGCGGUACAGGCGUGAAUGACACCCUGGGCGCACAGACACCAUUUUACAAUAAAGUCAAAAUAUUAAGACAUUUGUCAUCAAACAAGUACAGCGUGCUACAUCCGACCUGAAGCACGAUAUUGUGGGACUUGUCCAGCUGGGAAGAGGAGGGUUUGUCCUUGCAGUGAAUAAACCAACUUGGCACAAAGCUUCAACCUCACAAAGGAGGAAAUUGGUGGUAGAGGAAGUACGCCGUCAGGAGGAGGCUGAAAGAAGAGCAAAGGCUGUCACUUUUGCCAAGCAGGGACAAUGGAUGAGGUGGGAAGGUGUGGAGAAGACAAAGCUCACCUGGAGGCAGCUCUGGGAAAUGGAAGCAAGAAACAUCAGCUUCAUCAUAAGAGUAUUGUAAAAUGAUUCUUGUUCUGUGAAAGGCAGUUGAACUCAGGCCUAUGUGACUGAGGGGGAGGUCAUUGUGACCGAAGUUAUACAAGAUGUGUUCCAGAUGUUAUGUGAUUUCAAAAUGUCCUGCCAACAGGUCCAAGGAAGGACGAGGUUUUGGUAAUCCGCGUCAUUAUUGUUCACUGGGUCUAUUUAAGGGUGAACGGAAUAAACGGGGUAUCCCUUUUCCCUCAACUGCA